rnacentral:rRNA from 1 species
UACAGAGGUCCCAAGCGUUGUUCGGAUUCACUGGGCGUAAAGGGUGCGUAGGUGGCAAGGUAAGUUUGAUGUGAAAUCUCCGAGCUUAACUCGGAAACUGCAUUGAAUACUCUCUUGCUUGAGGGUUGGAGGGGGGACUGGAAUUCUCGGUGUAGCAGUGAAAUGCGUAGAUAUCGAGAGGAACACCAGUGGCGAAGGCGAGUCCCUGGACAACUCCUGACACUGAGGCACGAAAGCCAGGGGAGCAAACGGG